rnacentral:miRNA from 1 species
UUCGGUUCUCUAGCUUUAUGA